rnacentral:lncRNA from 1 species
AUGAGGAGAGGCUGGCAGUGCUGCCUAGUAACCAGAGAGGUGUGUGCCAGCAUCCCCAGAUGCCUGGACCAGAUUGCAGAUCUUGAGCAUGAGAUAUCAAGUUGACAAGAUUAGCAUCUUUCUCUGCUCACAGUUUAGAUUCCUGGGAUCUC